rnacentral:rRNA from 1 species
GACGAACGCUGGCGGCGUGCUUAACACAUGCAAGUCGAGCGGUAAGGCCCUUUCGGGGGUACACGAGCGGCGAACGGGUGAGUAACACGUGGGUGACCUGCCCUCAGCUCUGGGAUAAGCCUGGGAAACCGGGUCUAAUACUGGAUAUGACUCCAUGACGCAUGUUGUGGGGUGGAAAGCCUUGUGCGGCUGAGGAUGGGCCCGCGGCCUAUCAGCUUGUUGGUGGGGUGANGGCCUACCAAGGCGACGACGGGUAGCCGGCCUGAGAGGCGACCGGCCACACUGGGACUGAGACACGGCCCAGACUCCGUACGGGAGGCAGCAGUGGGGAAUCUUGCGCAAUGGGCGAAAGCCUGACGCAGCGACGCCGCGUGA